GAAGUUAUAUGCUUAAAGGCAUGCAUCUAGCAAAUGGCAAAAAAAAUGGAUGAAGACACAAGACUGAUUGUCACUAAAAACCAUGUGGUAUGUUUGAGCAAGGGUCAUAGCUCAGCUAUCCAGGUGGCUUUGGUUUUGUGGCUCCACUUUCUCAACAUGAAACUCCAAUAGAGGAAGAAGGAAACAUGUGACCUGGAGAGUUGAAGUGGGUAUUGGAGACUGCUGCAUCAGCAGGGAAAUGCUUUAUAUCCUCAAAUGACAUGUGCUUCUCCUGACAGCUCAUUGACCAGAAUUAGCAACAUGGCCCUUCCUAACUAGAAGGGACCAGAAUGGAUAGUCCUUCUAUGUGUCCAGAAGGAGAGAAGGACCAGAUAUGUGUGAUCAUGUCUCCAUUAUGGGAGAAAAGAGAAUUGAAAAAGAAAGAAGAUCCACAUAGUGUCUGAGGAGCUGAGACAAAAGAAAAGUAAGUCAUCUCAUUGAGUCUCAGUUUCUUCAUCUCUCAAAGAAAGAUGAACAUACCCACUGCACUAAGGGUGUCAUGAAGAUUACAUUAGAAAAAUGCACAUGAUAUCUUUAAAUCUCUUUGCCAAUAGCAAGA
rnacentral:lncRNA from 10 species